rnacentral:rRNA from 1 species
AGCGAACGCUGGCGGCAGGCCUAACACAUGCAAGUCGAACGGAUCCUUCGGGAUUAGUGGCGGACGGGUGAGUAACACGUGGGAACGUGCCCUUUGGUUCGGAACAACUCAGGGAAACUUGAGCUAAUACCGGAUGUGCCCUUCGGGGGAAAGAUUUAUCGCCAUUGGAGCGGCCCGCGUCUGAUUAGCUAGUUGGUGAGGUAACGGCCCACCAAGGCGACGAUCAGUAGCUGGUCUGAGAGGAUGAUCAGCCACACUGGGACUGAGACACGGCCCAGACUCCUACGGAAGGCAGCAGUGGGGAAUCUUGCGCAAUGGGCGAAAGCCUGACGCAGCCAUGCCGCGUGAAUGAUGAAGGUCUUAGGAUUGUAAAAUUCUUUCAGCGGGGACGAUAAUGACGGUACCCGCAGAAGAAGCUCCGGCUAACUUCGU